AGCGUAGGUGGUUCGGUAAGUCAGAUGUGAAAGCCCGGGGCUCAACCCCGGGAUUGCAUUUGAAACUAUCGUACUAGAGUGCAGGAGAGGUAAGUGGAAUUCCUAGUGUAGCGGUGAAAUGCGUAGAUAUUAGGAGGAACACCAGUGGCGAAGGCGGCUUACUGGACUGUAACUGACACUGAGGCUCGAAAGCGUGGGGAGCAAACAG
rnacentral:rRNA from 1 species